AUCUUCACAAUGGACGAAAGUCUGAUGGAGCAACGCCGCGUGAGUGAAGAAGGUUUUCGGAUCGUAAAACUCUGUUGUUGGAGAAGAACGUAUUUGAUAGUAACUGAUCAGGUAGUGACGGUAUCCAACCAGAAAGCCACGGCUAACUACGUGCCAGCAGCCGCGGUAAUACGUAGGUGGCAAGCGUUGUCCGGAUUUAUUGGGCGUAAAGCGAGCGCAGGCGGUUUCUUAAGUCUGAUGUGAAAGCCUUCGGCUCAACCGAAGAAGUGCAUCGGAAACUGGGAAACUUGAGUGCAGAAGAGGACAGUGGAACUCCAUGUGUAGCGGUGAAAUGCGUAGAUAUAUGGAAGAACACCAGUGGCGAAGGCGGCUGUCUGGUCUGUAACUGACGCUGAGGCUCGAAAGCAUGGGUAGCAAACAGGAUUAGAUACCCUGGUAGUCCAUGCCGUAAACGAUGAGUGCUAGGUGUUGGAGGGUUUCCGCCCUUCAGUGCCGCAGCUAACGCAUUAAGCACUCCGCCUGGGGAGUACGACCGCAAGGUUGAAACUCAAAGGAAUUGACGGGGGGCGCCCC
rnacentral:rRNA from 1 species